rnacentral:rRNA from 1 species
UGGCAGACGGGUGAGUAACACGUGGGAACCUUCCCUUUGGUUCGGAAUAGCCCAGGGAAACUUGGGGUAAUACCGGAUAAGCCCUUACGGGGAAAGAUUUAUCGCCGAAGGAUGGGCCCGCGUCGGAUUAGCUAGUUGGUGGGGUAACGGCCUACCAAGGCGACGAUCCGUAGCUGGUCUGAGAGGAUGAUCAGCCACACUGGGACUGAGACACGGCCCAGACUCCUACGGGAGGCAGCAGUGGGGAAUAUUGGACAAUGGGCGAAAGCCUGACCCAGCGACGCCGCGUGGGGGAAGAAGGUCUUCGGAUUGUAAACCCCUGUUGGGAGGGACGAUGGGUAAAGGGGCUAAUAUCCUUUUUACCUGACGGUACCUUCAAAGAAAGCCCCGGCUAACUCCGUGCCAGCAGCCGCGGUAAUACGGAGGGGGCAAGCGUUGCUCGGAUUUACUGGGCGUAAAGGGUCCGUAGGCGGUUUCGUAAGUCGAACGUGAAAGCCCGAGGCUCAACCCCGGAAUUGCGUUCGAAACUGUGGGACUGGAGUCCGGAAGGGGUCGGUGGAAUUCCCGGUGUAGCGGUGAAAUGCGUAGAUAUCGGGAGGAACACCAGUGGCGAAGGCGACCGGCUGUUCCGGUACUGACGCUGAAGGACGAAAGCGUGGGGAGCGAACCGGAUUAGAUACCCGGGUAGUCCACGCCCUAAACGAUGGACGCUAGGUGUGGGGGCGUUAGCCUCCGUGCCGCAGCUAACGCAUUAAGCGUCCCGCCUGGGGAGUACGGUCGCAAGAUUGAAACUCAAAGGAAUUGGCGGGGGCCCGCACAAGCGGUGGAGCAUGUGGUUUAAUUCGAUGCUAAGCGAAGAACCUUACCGGGGUUUGACAUGACGGAUUAAGCCUAUCUGAAAGGAUGGGGUGGGGUGGAGUUUUACUUCACUCAGCCGUCACAGGUGCUGCAUGGCCGUCGUCAGCUCGUGCCGUGAGGCGUCCGGUUAAGUCCGGUAACGAGCGCAACCCCUAUGCUUAGUUGCCAGCAUUCAGUUGGGCACUCUAAGCAGACUGCUGGUAAAAAGCCGGAGGAAGGAGGGGACGACGUCAAGUCAGCAUGGCCUUUAUGCUCUGGGCUACACACAUGCUACAAUGGCAGGUGCAGAGGGUUGCCAAAUCGUAAGGUGGAGCUAAUCCCCAAAAGCCUGUCUCAGUUCGGAUCGCAGGCUGCAACUCGCCUGCGUGAAGCCGGAAUCGCUAGUAAUCGCGGAUCAGCUACGCCGCGGUGAAUACGUUCCCGGG